CCCUAGAUCGAUGGUUUUUUCUGUCGAAUCCACAUCUCAGGGUUUCUUUCUCCAGCGAUGACCCUUGAGCGAUGGAUUUCACCGGCGUUUUCAAAUCUCAGGGUUUCUUUCUCCGGCGAUAACCCUAGAGAUAGAUGGAUUUCACCGGCGUUUUCACAUCUCAAGUACUAUCU